CUUUUUUCUUUUUCUUCUUUUAAUUUUGUUCAGCAUUAAAGGAGGAAACUUCAUAAACAUUGAUUGUCAUUUACAGAAAACAUUCAGAAAUCAUGUGUGCAUUAUCCGGGAAUGCUAACAGUAUUGAACUAAUAAUUUACAGGACAUAAAAUAAGGACAAAAACCUAUUACAUUCUAAAGUAAUAUAAAACUCUUUUUUAAUUGUUAGGGAGUGCUGUUUUAUUCUAGUAUAUUUAUGAUUAAAAAAACUCAAUACUUACUUCCUAAAUGACUCAGGCUGCAGUUUUACUCACAUACACAGAAAUUAGGGCUUAUAUAUUAAACAAGGAGAGAGAGAUCAGAAAAUUGUAGAUUUUAAAACUAUAUAUGUCACUGGGUUUAUUUGUGGUUUGCCUUUUUCCUCUACAGGCCAAUAAGAAUACAUGGUAAUAAUGUAAUUAAACUCCAGAAAAAUCAAUGGUGACUAUAAGAGACAUUAUUCUUUUAAAAAAGUAGAAUUAUUAUUCUUUUUAGAGUGAAUAUUUUUAUUUUACAUACUUGUGGCAAUGCAACUUUUAUGCAUUGCCAACAGUGGUGUGCAUGCUAAUGAGAUGCAAACUGUACCCCUCCCAUGCUGCCCCCCAGGCGCAGUAGGUUAGUGGGCACAGCCAAGCCCCAGGCAGCCCACGGUUUCACGGGACUUAGAAUCACUCUUCACUUUACAAGCGUAGGCUGGAGCUAAGGUAAAAACAUUAAAUCUCUGAAUGUUGGAAGUAUAUGAAAAUCAUUUCUCUCAAUCCUAAAAGCAAGGAAGCAUUGUUAGGGAUUUCAAAAAUAUUGGAAUGUCUCAUUUAAAUCUAAAUAUCUUUUUAUCAUUAUAAAUCGAUCAUCAUAAAAUACUAGCCUUUUAAAGUCAUAUUUGGGAUGCAGGAAAAGCAUCAGUUUCAACAACUUGCUCCUGCCUGUGUUGCUAUAGCUCAUGACACCUUGGAUUUUCCUCCCUCUCAGUCUCUCCCCAACCCUCCCCUAGGUUCUUUACAACAUUUAUUUGGUGAAGGUCAGUUAUGGCUUCAGCAAAUGAGUGGUCUGACCUCAGGUUAUUAACAAGAAAUAAAUGUGUACAAAAAUAUCUUGUUCAUCAGAAAGCGGAGUUUGUUUUCCUUAAGCUAUUCCAUGCAGAAAGGAUUUGGACAAAGCCAUUUGCUACAAGGAAAGAUGACUUAACUCAGGCAACUUUUUUUUUUAAUUUUCCUUUUUCGUAUUUUCUAGUUAUAGAUGGAGUUUGCAGGUCUUAGGCCAAUCUUCAAUACAAAUUCUUUGGAGCAGAUUUAAUUGACAGCCCUGUCCCUUUCUCAGUCAUAUUACAAAAAGAAGCAUACACUUAACACCAAUGACCCGUCAAGAUGCUUAAACUGUUACAACCAGUUUCCAUUAAAAAACUGAGAAGUACAUAACACGCAGAAAGGAAGCAAGUACAUAUUUGCUCUUUGUUGAUUUUCCCCCUCUAAAAAAAUUGUUACAAAGUCUUAUGCUUAAACAGAGACAUAGAAAAAUCAGUGUACUCACCGUCUCCAGUUAUUUACAGCAAAAAUUACAGAGACAGCAUACAUUGUAUUAGACCUUCCACAAGCAUAUAUUAAAAGUAAUUACAUUUGAAAAAAUAUUUUUAUUUUUCCUCUACAUUUCUACAAUACAUACUCAGUUUUCUGUGGGUGUAAUUUUUCUUUCUUGUGUGUGUGUUAAUCAGAUGAAGCAGACGGUACUGUGCUUGGAUGUGGGAUUUGUAGCUUUCCAGACAUACCUAAUGUGUUUCUACGUAUGGUUGUGACAGAGGCACGCGAAUGCUUGCCACCAACUACUGCCAGAAGAGUAUAGUUGAAUACAAGGAUCAUGCUGCCCAGCUGGGGUGCAGAUGCCCCGUGCUGCCCUGAACAGGGCUCAUUCAAUUCCGGUAACCCUUGUGCUUUAUUUUUGGCCAUGAGAACAAUCACUGAGCUGCUUUCUCUGAUCCACUGGAGGCCAUGCUUACAGUCACGCAGGAGGCAAAGAUUACUAUGGCCCAUUCACAUCGGAGGAAUUUCAGCAGCUUAGGAAAAAAGUGCACAAACAGACAACCCCCAUCUGCUGCAUAGGAAUCCAUGGUCUGCACUUCCAAACAAUGGAGGACUACAUGAUCACGACUAUAGAAUAAAUUCUUCACAUACAACUAAGGGAAAAUAAAAACUUGUCACAGAUAUUGAAGUCACACAGUUCAAGAAACACACUGAGACCCAAAAGAAUAAAAGUCAUGCAUUUGCCUUUCAGAAAAAAAGUGGCAAGAAAUCCAGCCCCCUGGCUCUAUGAAGAAGGGAGUUUGGGCAAGACAAGUUGGAGUGUCUUUUAUAAGCCAUCACUAAAUUGAAUAGUUUUCAUUUUUAGACUGUUUGCUAUUUUUUAAACUGACCUCCUGUUAUAUCCUCUAGUUGUGACAAUCAAAUACCAAAACAAAAUUGAGUAUUAGAAGGGGAAGAUCUCCAUCCCCUCCUUCCAAAACUAAUAUCAUUCUAAUAUCGUCCAGGGUUGAAUCUGACCAGACUUGCUGCAGUUGAGCUGGCCCCAGAUGCGAUUUUGCUUUAAACCAGAGGCUGCAAGCUGACGAUCUAUGGGCCCUCUUCUGCUCAGUGAUGUAUUUGUUUGGUCUGCACUAAGCUCUGAAUCAACUGCCAUCAUGUAUAAUUUCAGAGAUUUUAUAAAAUUCAGAAGCUCUAGCAGCAUUCAGUUUCAGGUAAAUCGUGGAUGUCCCUUUUUCCACAGGGCAUUUCCUGGCCAGCUUGCCCCUGGGCUGCUUCACCCAUUUGCAUUAAGCCCCCUGGCCCUUUUAGGCUUUCGAAUUUUCAACCCCUGCUUUAAAUGGUAAACUACCCUCUACCCUGUACCCUCUGGUCCUGAGACCCAAAAAUGAAUAGAGUGUCAGCUUUUUUUUGAAAGACCCCCCAUAGUUUCCCACAUCAGGCCUUUACUCUAGUUGCUGCUUAUACUGACAGUUGGAAACAGAACAUCAAAUAACACUUCGUCUAAAGCAGAUGGUAGGCUUUCCUCUCUUCUUUAUGCAGGGGACUUUGUGCAGAGUUUCACUACAGAUGCACACUUUAAGGUUAUUGCUGUUCUAUUGAACGGUGCUUCUGUUAGGGCACAGACGUCCAUGGCCUGAAUUGACUGCAAAUUGUAGCAGCUUCCUUGGAAAUAAAAGUUUAUAGAAAAAAAAAGAGUCAGGAAGAAAUUAUUUCUUCUAAUUUCCAAUAGAAAUAGAAUUUUUCCUUGCUUCUAUAAUGAACAGAAACAAAGAACAUAGAACAACACUGCCAUUAUUUGCAUCUGAUUGUUGUUUUUGAAAAAAGCUGGUAAGUUUUAGGUUGUCCUUGGGACCCAAGAAUUGUUUUUGCCUUCAAGCCUCGUACACAUUGCAUUGUAGAGAGUGAGCAUGAGUUGAUCUUCAUGGUUUUCUACAAACAGUUUAGCUUGACUGCUCUGAGAUUAUGCUUUGAACAAGGCAGCUAUGAUAGGAAAUGUACUGACACCUCCCUGGCACCUCUUGUUAAUAUUCAGAGUUUAUUAUGAUUUAAGAUCUCUUGGAAUCUACCAAAGAAAUCUAAUCACUCAGGAGAUCGUUAUAUUCUCUGAUUUUACCUACUCAGAGGUACUUUAGUCCAGAGCCCUGAACACAGUGCUAAAACAAGGGAAAUUCAGAAAGGGUAUGUUUGUGGAGAACAUCUCCACCUUCAGCUUUCAGUCUUUGGGGGAUAAAAGAGCCACUGAAGGCAGGGCGCAGUGGCUCAGGCCUGUAAUCCUUGCACUUUGGGAGGCCAAGGCGGGUGGAUCACUUGAGGUCAGGAGUUCAGGACCAGCCUGGCCAACAUGGUGAAACCCCAUCUCUACCUAAAAUACAAAAAUUAGCCGGGUGUGGGGGCGUGUGCCUGUAAUCCCAGCUACUCAGGAGGCUGAAGCAGGAGAAUCGCUUGAACCCAGGAGGCAGAGAUUGCAGCGAGCCAAGAUCUCAUGCCACUGCACUCCAGCCUGAGCAACAUGUUGAACAAGAUCUGUCUCAAAACAAAAAAGGAGCCACAGAAAAAGGGGCAAAGAGAUUAGUUGAGUCAUGGACAGUACGGGCAUAUACGGGUGUCAAACCAGAUUUGGAAUCCUUUCCUGUCCUAUUUUCCCUCCAAAAUUUCCCUUUCUUUUUAUGGACCACAAAUACACUGAAGUUUGAAUUCACCCGGUUUCACCUCCCUUGUCCAUUUUAUCUAAUGCCAGUUAGAUUUCUGUAUUUUCCUUGUUCAGGAUUUGUAUAGAAAGUUUGGAUUUGCAGGGAGAUAAAAAUUCCUCUGAAUGGGACAGCUAGAUUAUUUGGCUCUUAGCAGAGUUUAGAAAAUGAGACCAAGUUGUCCUUACUUGGGUGCAACUUUUCAGCAAGUCCAAAUAAGUCAAUCUAGUUUAUGACAUGAAGUUACUGCUUGUUGGUCUGAAAGCCUUGUCAGAGAGGUGCUCUCAGCAACAUAUUUAAUUUAUACCAUUCACAUUUUGUUGUCAUUUUCCUGUUUUUAAUUUUUUCCUCCUUCUUGAUGUAUUUUUUUUUUUUAAGGAAACAUCCCUGAGUGGAUACAGUGCAACAUCUGCAUCAAGCAGUGAUUGUCAUUUAUGAAGCACGAAGUGAGAAGCCCAGAUUGUGGAUUUUUUCUUCCAGUGCACACUUGAUCAUGAUUGUUGUGAACAUUUGUUAGUCCUCAUGGGGAAGGAACCAAGUUCUGGGAUUGUAGGUACAAAAUACCUUGACAUGCAGUCAUAGGAGAUCUUCGAAGGGCAGCUUUUUAAGGCUUUUUACCAUUGAAAACAUGACUGGAUUCUCUUUAAAGGGAAGGUUGGGCAACUGUAACCCAAACUAGAAAUCUCUUCUCUCAACUAAGUGGGAUGAGUAUGUCCUGGUUGCCAUUGUUUUGCUCUGGUUCAGAUGCUAGCUCUGUUUCCUUCCUCCCAGCUUCAAAAGGUCCAUGCCGUCCCAGUGAAAUGCUUAACGCUAGUGGAAACAACACAAAUUCAAAGCAGUACCUCCCAAGAAUUCAUCAAUCAUGAGGUGAGAAAAUGUUCCGUUUUCUAAAAGGAAAAGAUGACACUACUGUUUUGAUCAUCAAUCAAGAGUUCUGUGGUAUCUUGGAGAUGGUGCUCAACCAUGAACUUCAGGAGAGCAUAAGAGAUUAAAAAAAGAAAUCAAAGUUUCCACUGAUGGAAACUUUACAAAGCAGGGGUUUGUAUGUGUGUGUGUGUAAGUGUGUGUGUGUUUAAUAUGGAGAAAAGGGCAGUUCUUUAGGAGUUGGUGGCUGGGAUAUACUUACAGGAGACCAUAAUUUUCAUUGUCUUAUACACAAACUUCUCUCUUAGCUUGUUUUCUUUUUUUUAAGUUUUAUUUUGUAUCAGAAAAUAACAGAGGUAUAGGCCUCCAGGACACAGGCAGAACAAAUUUCUU
rnacentral:lncRNA from 10 species